AUCCAUAGCCAUGCCACCCUGAACAAGCCCAAUCUCACCUGAUCUUGGAAGCUAAGCAGGAUCAGGCCUGGUUAGUACUAGGAUGGCAGACCACCUAGGAAGACCACGUGCUGUAGGUG
rnacentral:rRNA from 1 species